rnacentral:hammerhead_ribozyme from 1 species
UUCUAACCGACGCGUUUCAAAUAGGACGAAACGUGCGUCCUGGAU